AGAGUUUGAUCCUGGCUCAGAACGAACGCUGGCGGCGUGGAUAAGACAUGCAAGUCGAACGAGAGAAUUGCUAGCUUGCUAAUAAUUCUCUAGUGGCGCACGGGUGAGUAACACGUGAGUAACCUGCCCCCGAGAGCGGGAUAGCCCUGGGAAACUGGGAUUAAUACCGCAUAGUAUCGAAAGAUUAAAGCAGCAAUGCGCUUGGGGAUGGGCUCGCGGCCUAUUAGUUAGUUGGUGAGGUAACGGCUCACCAAGGCGAUGACGGGUAGCCGGUCUGAGAGGAUGUCCGGCCACACUGGAACUGAGACACGGUCCAGACACCUACGGGUGGCAGCAGUCGAGAAUCAUUCACAAUGGGGGAAACCCUGAUGGUGCGACGCCGCGUGGGGGAAUGAAGGUCUUCGGAUUGUAAACCCCUGUCAUGUGGGAGCAAAUUAAAAAGAUAGUACCACAAGAGGAAGAGACGGCUAACUCUGUGCCAGCAGCCGCGGUAAUACAGAGGUAUCAAGCGUUGUUCGGAAUCACUGGGCGUAAAGCGUGCGUAGGCUGUUUCGUAAGUCGUGUGUGAAAGGCGCGGGCUCAACCCGCGGCCGGCACAUGAUACUGCGAUACUAGAGUAAUGGAGGGGGAACCGGGAAUUCUCGGUGUAGCAGUGAAAUGAGUAGAUAUCGAGAGGAACACUCGUGGCGAAGGCGGGUUCCUGGACACUAACGGACGCUGAGGCACGAAGGCCAGGGGAGCGAACGGGAUUAGAUACCCUUGUAGUCCUGGCAGUAAACGGUGCACGCUUGGUGUGCGGGGAAUCGACCCCCUGCGUGCCGGAGCUAACGCGUUAAGCGUGCCGCCUGGGGAGUACGGUCGCAAGAUUAAAACUCAAAGAAAUUGACGGGGACCCGCACAAGCGGUGGAGUAUGUGGCUUAAUUCGAUGCAACGCGAAGAACCUUACCUGGGCUUGACAUGUAAUGAACAACAUGUGAAAGCAUGCGACUCUUCGGAGGCGUUACACAGGUGCUGCAUGGCCGUCGUCAGCUCGUGUCGUGAGAUGUUUGGUUAAGUCCAGCAACGAGCGCAACCCCUGUUGCCAGUUACCAGCACGUGAAGGUGGGGACUCUGGCGAGACUGCCCAGAUCAACUGGGAGGGAGGUGGGGACGACGUCAGGUCAGUAUGGCCCUUAUGCCCAGGGCUGCACACGUACUACAAUGCCCAGUACAGAGGGGGCCGAAGCCGCGAGGCGGAGGAAAUCCUAAAAACUGGGCCCAGUUCGGACUGUAGGCUGCAACCCGCCUACACGAAGCCGGAAUCGCUAGUAAUGGCGCAUCAGCUACGGCGCCGUGAAUACGUUCCCGGGUCUUGCACUCACCGCCCGUCA
rnacentral:rRNA from 1 species